UUUUUUUCGUGCUAUUCAAUAUCGUAAAUUUUGCAAAAUCUGUCCUAAAAGCUUCAAACGUUUGAAUUGGAAGACAAUUUCAAAAUUUGAAAUUUUAUUUUAUGCUCAAGAACUGUGAUUUCUCCCUUUAAAUACUUGUAUUUAGAGUCCAUUCGAACAAGAUUUUUAGCCACUGUUUUGCCCUUAAAGUUUUGAAGCGACCUCAUCCCACUCUUAAACUCUUUUUGUUUAUCCUUGUGUAGCUAUUUUUGGAUUUGAACUUUCUAAUCUUAUUGUUCGAGUUUGAGAAUAGACCUGCUAUUGAAGCAGCUGAGUUCACUGCCCAACUCAAGGUAUAAACAUGACACAUAUUGAUCAUCGAUGAAGUUGCUCUUAUUUAUUUUGGAUUAACUCUACUAAAGCGUAUUUGUCCUUAACAAUUCUUGAUGUAACUGAAAGUGACAGUUUUGAUCAUAUCAGACACUGGUAACGGGGUCGACAUCCAGCGCAGUGGUUAUCCAAUAGAACACUCCAGAGUCAGUUGGGUUCGGCGAUAUUAACUUUCAUCCUCAUGGCUAGGUUUAUAGUAGAUCAAGAAGAGAAGCUAUGGUGAGUCCUCAUAGCAUUCGAGGGCUUGACAACCAUGUCUUUUAUAUUUCUUUUAUGUUUUGAGAUUAUUGUAUGGGUUGUGUCCCAAGAGUUAUUCAAAGUUGUUUUAGAUGGUUUGAGAUUAGGGUAAAGAGACUUCCGCUUUGCUUUUAUAAACACUUCGAUUGUAUUAAAAAUGUUAUAAAUUUUCGUACUCUUCUAUUAUCUUAUGUUAUGAUUUGCUAAGUGGAUUACAUAGAGUCCUUCGGGGUUCUAUGUAUGUUA